GACGAACGCUGGCGGCAUGCCUAAUACAUGCAAGUCGAGCGAACAGAUGAAGUGCUUGCACUUCUGACGUUAGCGGCGAACGGGUGAGUAACACGUAAGGAAUCUACCUAUAAGCGGGGGAUAACAUUCGGAAACGGGUGCUAAUACCGCAUAAUAUCUUCUUCCGCAUGGAAGAAGAUUGAAAGACGGCUCUGCUGUCACUUAUAGAUGACCUUGCGGUGCAUUAGUUAGUUGGCGGGGUAACGGCCUACCAAGACGAUGAUGCAUAGCCGACCUGAGAGGGUGAUCGGCCACAUUGGGACUGAGACACGGCCCAAACUCCUACGGGAGGCAGCAGUAGGGAAUCUUCCGCAAUGGGCGAAAGCCUGACGGAGCAAUGCCGCGUGAGUGAAGAAGGCCUUCGGGUCGUAAAACUCUGUUAUAAGAGAAGAACAAAUUGUAGAGUAACUGCUACAGUCUUGGCGGUAUCUUAUCAGAAAGCCACGGCUAACUACGUGCCAGCCGCCGCGGUAA
rnacentral:rRNA from 1 species